UGGGGAAUAUUGCACAAUGGGCGCAAGCCUGAUGCAGCCAUGCCGCGUGUGUGAAGAAGGCCUUCGGGUUGUAAAGCACUUUCAGCGAGGAGGAAGGGUUCAGUGUUAAUAGCACUGUUCAUUGACGUUACUCGCAGAAGAAGCACCGGCUAACUCCGUGCCAGCAGCCGCGGUAAUACGGAGGGUGCAAGCGUUAAUCGGAAUUACUGGGCGUAAAGCGCACGCAGGCAGUUUGUUAAGUCAGAUGUGAAAUCCCCGCGCUUAACGUGGG
rnacentral:rRNA from 1 species